rnacentral:rRNA from 1 species
UUGGAGGGCAAGUCUGGUGCCAGCAGCCGCGGUAAUUCCAGCUCCAAUAGCGUAUAUUAAAGUUGUUGCAGUUAAAAAGCUCGUAGUUGAAUUUCGGAAUCUGUCCGUCGGUCGGGCUUCACUGUCCGUACUGGUGUGAUGGGUUUCUACCUUCUGAAUAAUCGGCAUGUCAUUAAUUAGAUGCGCCGGGGAAGCAGAACUAUUACCUUGAAAAAAUUAGAGUGCUUAAAGCAGGCUAUCGCCUGAAUAGAUUAGCAUGGAAUAAUAAAAUAGGACGGCAUGGUUCUAUUUUGUUGGUUUCUAGGAUCACCGUAAUGAUUAAUAGGGAUAGUUGGGGGCAUUAGUAUUCAAUUGUCAGAGAUGAAAUUCUUGGAUUUAUCGAAGACUAACUUCUGCGAAAGCAUUUGCCAAGGAUGUUUUCAUUAAUCAAGAACGAAAGUUAGGGGAUCGAAGACGAUCAGAUACCGUCGUAGUCUUAACCAUAAACUAUGCCGACUAGGGAUCGGACGAUGUUAAUUUUUUAAUGACUCGUUCGGCGCCUUACGGGAAAC